rnacentral:lncRNA from 1 species
AGCCUUUUGAAGCCACAGUUGAAUGAAUCUGAGGGUAUCAUCUAAACACCAGCAACUAAGCUGCACUCACAGAGCCUUUCGAGAGUUCUUUAGUUUAUUUCUUUUUUCUUUUUUCUUUUCUUUUCUUUUCUUUCUUUCUUUUAUUUGUUUAUUUAAUUUCUUUUUUUUAAGGCAUUAUUUCCUGCACACUAAUGUUCUGGCUAGCAAACUAAUAGUAUCAGAACCACCUUACAGAAAUACAGAUAGAGAAUUCUCUGGGUUUCUUUUGUAAAUUUUUAAUUUAAAAGUUGUGGUUUUCUAAAAAACAAAAACAAAAGCAAACAAACAACAACAACAACAAAAAACCCAAACCUUCUACAUCCAGUCUUGCUGAAGCUUCACUGACCGCCUGCUGCCUGUCCAGUGAAAUUUAUUUCUGGGAGGUUGGAAAAGUGAAAAUUUCAAAUCCUAAAUAUUUUCUUUUUCCUGACAAGUAUGUUGCUUGUGCCCAAAAUCCCAGCACUAGGGAGACUGAGGUAGGAGGAGCACAAACUUAGGAACAUCCAGCGUGGGCUACACGAAUGGCUCUAUCUCCAAAACCCAACCGAACAAACACAUAAACAAGUCCCCCCCCCCCCUCUUUCAAUAGUCAGUGUUAACCAGGAAGUGGCAGCGGGGGCAAGCUGAUCUCUGAGUUCAAGGCCAGCCUCGUCUACAGAGAGAGUUCCUGGACAGCCAAGACUACACUGAAAAACCCUGCCUCAAACACCAAAAGCAGAAAAUCGUGCUGAGAAGGCAAUCCGCAGCUUGCUGAAUGGCUGAAGUCAGACUGUAGUGCAGAUGCCUUCAGGGCACAGCCACAUUCCCUCUUCUCAGGAAACAAAUCGAAAUCUGUGAUAAUUUAAAAUCUCGUGACCAAAACCCUUAGAAGCCAUGGAUUUGCAACUGUCAUGGAUUCCUGAGUCGUCCUAUGGAAAGUCUGGAUUUCCAGUGUUUGAGCUGAAAGUUUCCUGUUUGGAGUUUGUGGAAUAAACGUUGGGUCAGCAAGAGUAAUGUGCAUGCGAAGACCCCCUCGGAAGUGAAGAUGCUGGAUCGGAGAAGAGUGGACCAAAGCAUCUACAAAACAACUGAGCCCCAGCCAGCAGCAAAGCUCUAACUCACCUAAGGCAACAUUGUCUCAGACCUGAAAACAGGGACAAGUCGAAACCUUCUACACUGUUUUAUUUGUGUAAUAAAUUUUUGUCUUCAAGGUAUUUUUGUUACUAAGUAUUAUCAUAAAGUUAAGAGAAAACUCUUAGGGGACAUUUGUACUUUCCCCCCCUAUUGUCUGUGUAACAGACUCCUGUGUAAACAUAUGAAUAAAUUAUAUUAACAGCU